CACCGGCCGGAGUCAAAUUGACCGAGACUCCACUGAGCAUCUGGACUACAUUUCCCAGAAAUCCCCUGAUUCGCCAGCCGGAGCCAAGCUGACCGCUACUCCACUGAGCGUCUGGACUACCAUUCCCAGAAUUGCUUGUAUCCUCCUCCUGGAGCCAGUGUGUACGACUCCACAGAGCAUUUGGAUUACACUCCUCCGAAUGCUGAAGGAAAAACGCUCAAAAUCUCAUUCUUCAGGGGGAAGCGUUGCCACUCCGGGGUGCCCACUGGGAACGAAUCCCAAAGCCAUGAGCGCCUGCCUAGUGGGGAAUGUGAACUGUUAUCCUGAGAGUCGUCCUUCUCUCUCCCUGGUUCAGGACAGAAAAUACUGAAUAGACAGGAAUUUCUGAAGUCUAAACGCCUCCAAUGAUAACAGGAGUGUUAUUGGAAAGGGAACAAGCGAGAAGACACAGUCUUCGAGGAGUUAAGUUUUGCUAAUCUAAUGAUGAGACUGCAUUCAUGAAGACUGAGUGAAGACUUUAUUGCACCAUCACAUCACUAAAGUUUUCCUCCAACAUGAACAUUCUGAUGAAGUUGAAGGCUUGAGGCCUGACUAAAGCACAUAUCACACUCCCUACACUUCCAUGUUUUCUCUCCCAUGUGGACCCUCUGAUGCAUAUCAAGAUUCAAGCGCCUGUUGUAGCCCUUCCCACAGUCCUCACAUUUGUAUGGCUUUUCUACACUGUGAACUUUUUCUUGCACUUUAGAGAAUGAAUUCUGUACAAUGUUCUUCCCAUGCUGCUCACAUUUGAGAGGUGUUUCUCUGCUGUGGCGUCUCUGAUGGGUCAGACGAGUUGAGGACCAGCUGAAGCCCUUCCCACACUCAUCACAUUUGUAUGGCUUUUCUCCAGUGUGCACUCUUUGAUGAGAAUGAAGCUGUGAAUUCUGAGUAAAUCUUUUCCCACACUCUUCACAUUUGAAUGGUUUUUCUCCACUGUGCAGUCUCUGAUGUUUCAAAAGACACGAGGCCCAGCCAAAACUCUUCCCACAUUCCUUACAAUUGUAUGGUCUCUCUCCUGUGUGGACCUUCUGGUGCAUAUCAAGAUUAAACUUACUAUUGUAGCCCUUUCCACACUUCUCACAUUUGUAUGGCUUUUCUCCAGUGUGAACUCUCUGAUGGGAAUGAAGAUGUGAAUUUUGAGUAAACCUCUUCCCACACUCUUCACAUUGGAAUGGUUUUUCUCCACUGUGGAGUCUCUCAUGUUUCAAAAGACAUGGGGCCCGACUAAAGCUCUUCCCACAUUCCUUACAAUUAUACAGUUUCUCUCCUGUAUGGACGCGCUGGUGAAAGUCAAGAUCCAACCUCCUUUUGUAGCCCUUCCCACACUCCACACACUUGUAUGGUUUUUCUCCACUAUGGGAUCUCUGGUGGGAAUAGCAUUGUGAAUUUGUGUAAAAUCCUUUCCCACAUUCUUCACAUUUGAAUGGUUUUUCUCCACUGUGGACUCGCUGAUGUUUCAAAAGACACGAGGCCCAUCUGAAGCUCUUCCCACACUCUUUACAAUUAUAUGGCUUCUCUCCCGUGUGGACCAUAUGAUGCGUAUAAAGAUCUCGCCUACAAAUAAAGCCUUUUCCACACUCCUCACAUUUGUAUGGUUUCUCUCCUGUGUGGAUCAUGCGAUGACUAUUAAGUGCUGAUCUCUGACGAAAGCUCUUACCACACGUAUCACAUCGGAAUGGUUUCUCUGCCGUGUGAACCAUGGAAUGCCUAUUAAGUCUGGAUCUACCACAGAAGCUCUUACCACAUAUAUCACAUUUGAAUGGCUUCUCCCCCGUAUGGAUUCUCUGAUGUUCUUGAAGCUGGGAAUCGUGAAUGAAGGCCUUCCCGCAUUCCUCACAAUUAUAAGGUUUCUCUCCUGUGUGUAAUUUAUGAUGAACAUUAAGUGCUGAUCUACGACUGAAGCCUUUCCCACAUUCCACACAUUUGAACGGUUUCUCUCCAGUGUGGACUCUCUGAUGAGUUUGCAGAUGUGAACUCUGACUGAAUUCCUUACCACACACAUCACACUUAUAGCAUUUCUCUCCCAUGUGGACUCUCUGAUGAAUACGAAGGGCUGAGAUGUAACAAAAGUUUUUUCCACACUCAUCACACGUAUGAGACUUCUCUCCUGAGUGUAAUUGUUGAUGAAAAUCAAAGAGGGAGACAUCACUGAAGGACAGUUUAUAUCCAUUGCCCUGGGAAGAUUUCUGUCUUGCGUGAAUUACAGACAGUCCUGCCUCAGUCUGGCAGGGGAAAUCACCUUCUUUGGAGAACUGAGAGCUAUUUAUCACCAAGUCUUGAGACCUGGUUAAAUCACUUGCAAUUUUUUCCCAGAUUUGCUGGAAGGACCAUUCUUGAUGUGUUCCUGCUUCUGAAACAGUCUCCAUCUCAGUUUGGAUCUUGUCUCCUAUCAGAAUACAGAAUUAAAAGAUGAGGACAAGUGAAGCCUUUGUUCAGUGUUAUCAAGAUUUCACUUAGGCCACGGCAUGAAACUCUCAUGAGUAUAGACAACAUUCAGUUUGUAUUUUUCAAGUGCACCAUAAUCUUUGGUUUGGAUGAGGCCAAUUUCGAACUAAACCAAGUAUCAUAUGUAAAAUACUUGAUAGAAAUAAAAGACGAAAAACAAUAGAUGUUGACAUUGGUGUGGUGAAAAGAAACGCUUAUACACUGCUGGUGUGGAUGUAAAUUAGUACAACCUCUAUGAAAUACAGUAUGGAGAUACUCUAAAGAACUAAAAGUGGAUCUACCAUUUGAUCCAGCAAUCCCACUACUGUCUACCCAAAGGAAAAGAAAUCCUUACAUCAAAAGGACACCUGCAUGCCUAUAUUUAUUACAGCACAAUUCACAAUUUCAAAGAUAUGGAACCAACCUAAGUGCCCAUCAACCAAUGAGUGGAUAAAGAAAAUAUGGUAUAUAUUCACCAUGGAAUACUAUUCAGCCAUAAAAAAUGAAAUAAUGUCUUUUGCAGCAACUUGGAUGGAGCUGGAGGCUAUUAUUCUAAGUGAAGUAACUCAGGAAUGGAAAACCAAAUACCGUGUUUUCACUUAUAAGUGGGAGUUAAGCUAUGGGUAUGCAAAGGCAUACAGAGUGAUAUAAUGGACUAUGGAGACUCAAAAUGGGGAGGGUGGAAGGUAGGGUAAGGGAUAAAAAGCUACAAGUUGGGUACAAUGUACACUACUCAGGUGAUGGGUACACUAAAAUCUCAGACUUCACCAUUAGACAAUUCAUCCAUGUAACCAAAAACCAGUAUAUACUUUAAUAAAAUAAAAAAAGACUACUGAAAUAAAAUUUUUAAUAAAAUAAAAAUAAAAGACAAUAAUAAAA